rnacentral:rRNA from 1 species
GACGAACGCUGGCGGCGUGCUUAACACAUGCAAGUCGAACGGAAAGGCCCUGCUUUUGUGGGGUGCUCGAGUGGCGAACGGGGGAGUAACACGUGAGUAACCUGCCCUUGACUUUGGGAUAACUUAAGGAAACUGGGGCUAAUACCGGAUAGGAGCUCCUGCUGCAUGGUGGGGGUGGGAAAGUUUCGGCGGUUGGGGAUGGACUAGCGGCUUAUCGGCUUGAUGGUGUGGUAGUGGCUUACCAAGGCUUUGCAGGGUAGCCGGCCUGGGAGGGUGACCUGCCACACUGGGCCGGGGCUACGGCCCGGACUCGUACGGGAGGCAGCGGUGGGGAAUAUUGCAUUAUGGGCUGAAGCCUGAUGUGACAACGCCGCGUGCGGGAUGACGGCCUUCGGUUUGUAUACCGCUUUCGCCUGUGACGAGGCGUGAGUGACGGUAAUGGGUAAAGAAGCACCGGCUAACUACGUG